rnacentral:rRNA from 1 species
UGGGGAAUAUUGCACAAUGGGCGCAAGCCUGAUGCAGCAACGCCGCGUGAGGGACGACGGCCUUCGGGUUGUAAACCUCUUUUGGCAGGGAAGAAGCGAAAGUGACGGUACCUGCAGAAAAAGCACCGGCUAACUACGUGCCAGCAGCCGCGGUGAUACGUAGGGUGCAAGCGUUGUCCGGAAUUAUUGGGAGUAAAGAGCUCGUAGGCGGUUUGUCGCGUCUGCUGUGAAAACCCGAGGCUCAACCUCGGGCCUGCAGUGGGUACGGGCAAACUAGAGUGCGGUAGGGGAGAUUGGAAUUCCUGGUGUAGCGGUGGAAUGCGCAGAUAUCAGGAGGAACACCGAUGGCGAAGGCAGAUCUCUGGGCCGUAACUGACGCUGAGGAGCGAAAGCAUGGGGAGCGAACA